GCGUAAGCAAUCUACCUUCAAGAUGGGGACAACACUUCGAAAGGGGUGCUAAUACCGAAUGAAUGUAAGAGUAUCGCAUGAGACACUUACUAAAGGAGGCCUCUGAAUAUGCUUUCGCUUGAAGAUGAGCUUGCGUCUGAUUAGCUAGUUGGUGAGGGUAAAGGCCCACCAAGGCGACGAUCAGUAGCCGGUCUGAGAGGAUGAACGGCCACAUUGGGACUGAGACACG
rnacentral:rRNA from 1 species